GCGGGGUGUGGCAUGGAGAGCGCUUCAGGGCGCGGGUGGUGAGAAAGUGAGCUCAGGCGGUCUCUGGGUGCUGAUGUGGGGACCCCGGACUCCUGGAUUUCCUGGAUAGGGCUGUGACCUUGGCCCAGGGAAUGGCAGUUUACAUACCAGGACCUGCACAAUCCAGGUGAUAAGAAGUUCAGUGGCUCCCCAGGAAGGAAAGAAGACUAAAUGGCUGUCAUCACUCCCUCUCUCUUUACCUCCUCUAAGGAUUCAGCUGGGACCUGUACUAAUCCCCGAGUAGCCUCAGUGUCCUCCAGUCUCAUGACAGACCCUCAACCCUUCCUUGUCUAUCAAAACCUUGAUCUCCACAAACAUCGGUCGACUACCUUGUGAAACACCUUGGCAGUUCCUGAUGCUUAGUCGACAGUGACUCCGUUUGGGAAGACUGACACAGGUUGACAGUGUUGCUCCAACCUCAACCAUACAUCACUAUUAGGGGGAUUCAUGCUGUCGAUCAGUGACAUUAACGUUGCCCAGUUGUGUCUGCUAGGUUUUUAUAUUAUAAAUGUCUGUUUUAAAUUUUAUCUUGAGAAAGCAUGCCAUACCAAUGUCCUGUUCCUCGUCCACUCUCACCUGCCACUUUCCACAUGUAUGGGCAGGUCCUGUCUGUGACAGCUGUCACUGUACUCAGUGCCAAACAGUGAGUUCAAACAGCCUUGAUUUCUUCAAUAAACUGGCAAUCAUUUUGAGAGACUACCCUCUCUCCCCACUUACUUCUUUAUUAUUUAUAUACAUAUGGUCUCACACAGGGUUCUUCUGUGGGUUGUGGCUCCCUGUCAUUGUCCUGUGGCUGAGGUAGUUUAGUAUUAGGGGCUGCUUUGAUUGAAUACCUUGAAUACCGUUGCCUUUGGGCAGUUUCUGUUUUUAAAUCACUUCCUU